GCACAUGCGCAGAAUCAUCGUGGUGCACGGCUCUCCCGUUGCUUCUUCGGUUGCAGUCCUCUUGGCUUCUUGCGCGUGCGUGUAGCGCUUUUGCAAAGCCGCGGAGGUGAAGCUAACGUAGAGGCUGUGGGGCCAAGGGGUCCUCUUAUAGCUAUCAGCCCACAGGCAUUUAGUCUACGUUGGAGGUAAACAAAUACGGGUCCAGCUUAGGAGAAAACAAAAACGUCUUACAGCCAGUGUCUAAACUCCAAACAACGGAAUGUAUCAAUGAGACCUUGUAUAUGGAUACACGUGCAUUUAAAACCGCCCUGCCGGCGUGUAGAGCUCUUGCCGUUCGCCAGCGCUUUACAGGGGUUAUCGCACUUAAGCCUCGGAACAACUUUACCAGAUGAGGACACCUGAGGCUCAGAUUACGAAAUCUGCCCCAAAGUCUUAGAACUGGUAUUCUCCACUGGUUGAAUGCAAAUGGAAGCCAGAGGAAAAGGGAACCCUUGACACAGUUUUCAUAUAGACUGGCCUCCAGGGCAGACAGCAGUUGCUCUGGCUGUAUCAAAUAAAAGUGUCAAGAGUGAGCAUCCUUGCAUUGUGCUGAAUCACAGAGGAAUACCUUUCAAUUUUUCUCCAUUGACUAUGAUAGCAGUGGGCUUUUCACAUGUGGGCUUUACUGUGUUGAGGUACCCUAAUGAUAAGUUCACCCCAGUGUUUUCUGAGGAGUCUACCUGGAAAUGAGAACCAUCUGUCCUUCCUAUAGUAGUUCUUCUCAGAAUGCCGACUCUAUGCUAAUGGAGGAGGUCUGAUGGCCGGGAGGAUGGGAAGAAGGAACCCACAAUGAAGCAAAAGUCACGUUUAACUCUGUCCUCACCAUUCCUCUCCUGGGCCUGUCCUAAACUGGAAGCUGGGGGAGGAUGGAGUGCUGGAAUGCUGUAGAAGUCUCAUGGGAGGGCGCCUGGUGUUCACCACAUGUGUACACUGUUGCACGACCAG
rnacentral:lncRNA from 1 species